GGGAGGCCGUGUUUGCUUCGUUCUGCCGAACAGCAGGCUGCGUUGAAGGAACGCAAGCGGGAGCGGGCCCGUGAACGUGCUCGUACGUGUUCGUACGAAUCCAGACCUUCGGCAAGCUGAGUCGAAGCGAAACGACAACGUUUAUCACUGCUUGUAGCAAUCCUGUCCCCACUGGGUGGUGGCGAAACUGUCGAAGUGGCGACACCGAAACCCGCCGGUACCGGACAUACCAACUGGAAAGGAGGCGAGCAAGAGGGCAGCAACAGAGGACAGCAAAGUGGAGCAGGGAUUCGUCCAACACAUAAAGAAGAACCCAAGAAGCCCGGAGGUGCCGGAGGUUUCAUCGGGAAAGGAGGUGGCGAAGAGGGCAGCAGCAAUGGACCAGGAAAUGGAGAAGGAAGCCGCC